AGACCAUGAUGAGGACAUCUUCGUUGUAACUACUGAUAGUGCUCCUAAGUUUCACACAAUUUCUAUCCUUCCUAUUGAGAGAAACUAGUUAUAUACAUCCUAAGUUU